rnacentral:rRNA from 1 species
UACGGGGGGGAGCAAGCGUUGUUCGGAUUUACUGGGCGUAAAGGGCGCGUAGGCGGCGCAACAAGUCACUUGUGAAAUCUCCGGGCUUAACCCGGAGCGGUCAAGUGAUACUGUCGUGCUAGAGUGCGGAAGGGGCUACUGGAAUUCUCGGUGUAGCGGUGAAAUGCGUAGAUAUCUGGAGGAACACCGGUGGCGAAGGCGACAUCCUGGACCGGUAUUGACGCUGAGGCGCGAAAAGCCAGGGGGAGCAAACGG